rnacentral:rRNA from 1 species
UACGUAGGGGGCAAGCGUUGUCCGGAAUCAUUGGGCGUAAAGAGCGUGUAGGCGGCCAGAAAAGUCCGCUGUGAAAACUCGAGGCUCAACUUCGAGCUGUCGGUGGAAACUUUCUGGCUAGAGUCCGGAAGAGGAGAAUGGAAUUCCUGGUGUAGCGGUGAAAUGCGCAGAUAUCAGGAGGAACACCGGUGGCGAAGGCGGGUCUCUGGGCCGUAACUGACGCUGGAGGAGCGAAAGCAUGGGGAGCAAACAGG